CCCGAAAACAAUUUUUUUCUUUCUUGCUGUUGUCUCUGUCUCUCUCUCGUGAUGUCGAUUUCCCCUAAACCCCAUCAAAAACCCUUACCUCGUCAGUGGGAAGGCGGAUAAAAAUGCGUUAAGUUCAUUCCUUUAUCAGCUAAUCUACAAUGAAACGAGCAUACAAGCUUGCCGAAUUGCGGACAUGUUUGGCUACACCCCGUAUCUCCCACUACCACCAUGAGAGAAUCGCUAAACCUUCUGCCCCGAUUCGUUUUAUUUGUCAAGAUACAACUCAAACGCCUUCCAGCGAUGGGGAGAAAAGGAAGUUUGGGGAUUUAGCAUCUUUAUUCCAAGAUAAAUUAAUUUGUAAGCGAGCGGAGGUGAAUGGGGGAAAAUAUUUAAAAGAGACGGUUGCCGAAUUGAAGCAUGAGAUUUUGGCUCAGGAAGAAGAUGUCGAGAAAAUCGACAAUAUUCUAGAAGAAAAGGGCGUCGCCCUCUUUCGGAGGUACUAUGAUGGAUCGGCGAUCAUUGAGCUCUUGAAACAGCUGCAGAGUUUUCCCUCUGUGGCUAUGGAGGUUCUCGGAUGGAGGAGGAAACAACUUGAUUAUGCUUCUCCAAUGACAACGGCGGAGUACUCAAUAGGUAUUGCUAUAGCUGGUAGAAUGAACAAACUUGAUGUUGCAGUUGAACUUUUCAAAGAGGCAUGCAAUAAACAACUAAAGGGAACAUCUUUAUAUAAUGCUCUUAUGAGUACCUACAUGAAAUCUGGUCAGAGUGUAAAGUGCCAGUCGGUGUUUCGUGACUUGAAGAAGGAUUCCGCGUGUACUCCGUCGAUCAUAACUUACAACAUACUCAUUUCAUCAUUUGGCCACCUGAUGCUUGUAGAUCACAUGGAAGCAACUUUUAGAGAGUUAAAUGAUUUAAACAUCAAGCCAACUAUCCAUACGUACAGGGGGUUGCUUUUUGGUUAUAUUACCGCGUGGAUGUGGGACGAGAUGGAAAAGACUUACUUGGCGAUGAAAAAUGGGCCAGUCAAACCUGACCUAGAUAUUCAUCUGCUAAUGCUUCGAGGGUAUGCACUCGCUGGUAAGCUGGAAAAGAUGGAGGAAAUAUAUAAGAUGGUGGGGGAUUAUGUUGAUGCUAAAGAUAUUCACUUGAUUAGAAUCAUGAUACAUGCUUACUGUAUGAGCUCCAAGGCUGAUAGAGUUCAGAGGGUUGAGACACUUUUCAGCAAAAUUCCGAAAAGUGACUAUCGACCCUGGGUGAAUGUGCUAUUGAUUUGUUUAUACGCAAAGGAGGACUUAUUGGAACAGAUGGAAAAUUCAAUAAACGAGGCGUUUGAGCGUAAAAUCUAUGUUAUAGCAACUAAUGUGGUGAGAUGUAUCAGUUCGAGUUACUUCAGACAACGUGCAGUGGACAAACUGGAUGACUUUGUACAGCGUGCUGAACUUGCAGGCUGGAAACUCUGUAGAUCACUUUACCACUGCAAAAUGGUAAUGUACGCUUCAGAGAUGCGCCUUUCUGAAAUGGAGAGAGUUCUUUAUGAAAUGAGUAAAAUAAAUAUGCACUGGUCAAAGAAAACUUUUUGGAUACUGUAUUGUGCAUAUGAAAGGUGGGGUGAAAGAAGUAAGCUUGAGCAGGUUAUUGGAAUGAUGUGUAAAAAUGGAUACGAAAUACGUAGUGGUCCACUAGAUUCAAUGAAAUAUCUCGAAUUUUAGAAGUACAUUUAUAAUUCCUGAGCAAGAUGAAUGAUCUGAUAGUAAUCCAGACGCCAAAGUUUGCUAUCAAAGAUGAAGUGAAAAUUUCAUCGCAUUCCAAGAUUGCACAUCCCCAGAUUAGCACACUGGAAUUUUUUAUUCCUAGAGAUGCAAGAUGGUUUAUGCGAUCAUUUUUAACAUGCGUAAUUUUUGCCUUACCUCGUGUGAGGACUUCGACUCCCGAUUGCUGCUGCUAUUUUUCUUUGGUGUUGUAUAAUCUUGAUCUUCUUCUAGAGUGAUGGACAAUACAUGUUCCUGAAAAGUAGUGAGGUUUUUUUGGAUCUGUGAAGCAUUCAUUUCUUGCAGCAAGUAAGCGUCUAAUUCUGCUUACAUUUCCUCUCUUUUGCUAGAGCAUGCAUGAACAUGACAUGAUACACCCUUUCUUCAUUUUGGCCUUAACUUUUUUGUUUUUCUGUAAUAUUUGAAUAUUAAUAAAUCUUCAUUAGGGACUUCAACUUAUUAUCUU